GACGAACGCUGGCGGCGUGCCUAAUACAUGCAAGUAGAACGCUGAAGGAGGAGCUUGCUUCUCUGGAUGAGUUGCGAACGGGUGAGUAACGCGUAGGUAACCUGCCUGGUAGCGGGGGAUAACUAUUGGAAACGAUAGCUAAUACCGCAUAAUAGUAGAUGUUGCAUGACAUUUGCUUAAAAGGUGCAAUUGCAUCACUACCAGAUGGACCUGCGUUGUAUUAGCUAGUUGGUGGGGUAACGGCUCACCAAGGCGACGAUACAUAGCCGACCUGAGAGGGUGAUCGGCCACACUGGGACUGAGACACGGCCCAGACUCCUACGGGAGGCAGCAGUAGGGAAUCUUCGGCAAUGGACGGAAGUCUGAUCGAGCAACGCCGCGUGAGUGAAGAAGGUUGUCGGAUCGUAAAGCUCUGUUGUAAGAGAAGAACGAGUGUGAGAGUGGAAAGUUCACACUGUGACGGUAUCUGACCAGAAAGGGACGGCUAACUACGUG
rnacentral:rRNA from 1 species